rnacentral:rRNA from 1 species
AGGAUGAACGCUGGCGGCGUGCCUAAUACAUGCAAGUCGAGCGGUAAGGCCCCUUCGGGGGUACACGAGCGGCGGACGGCUGAGUAACACGUAGGAACGUACCCCAAACUGAGGGAUAAGCACCAGAAAUGGUGUCUAAUACCGCAUGUGGUCUUCGGAUUAAAGCUUCGGCGGUUUGGGAACGGCCUGCGCAUGAUUAGCUUGUUGGUGAGGUAAAAGCUUACCAAGGCGACGAUCAUUAGCUGGUCUGAGAGGAUGAUCAGCCAGACUGGGACUGAGAACGGCCAGACUCCUACGGGAGGCAGCAGUAGGGAAUUUUCCACAAUGGGC